rnacentral:rRNA from 1 species
CCUACGGGCGGCAGCAGUGAGGAAUAUUGGUCAAUGGGCUGAAGCCUGAACCAGCCAAGUAGCGUGCAGGAUGACGGCCCUACGGGUUGUAAACUGCUUUUAUACGGGAAUAACGCGCCUUACGUGUAGGGCUUUUCAUGUACCGUAUGAAUAAGGACCGGCUAAUUCCGUGCCAGCAGCCGCGGUAAUACGGAAGGUCCGGGCGUUAUCCGGAUUUAUUUGGGUUAAAGGGAGCGUAGGCCGCAUGUCAAGCGUGCUGUGAAAUGUCCGGGCUCAACCCGGGCCGUGCAGGGCGAACUGGCGUGCUUGAGUCCGCGGAAAGCAGGCGGAAUUCGUCGUGUAGCGGUGAAAUGCUUAGAUAUGACGAAGAACCCCGAGUGCGAAGGCAGCUUGCUGCAGCGGAACUGACGCUGAUGCUCGAAAGCGCGGGUAUCGAACAGGAUUAGAUACCCGAGUAGUC